UUGCCCAAAUGUAAGGUGUACAUAGUUAACUGUCAGGUCCAAAUAGUUUUCCCUCUACCAAUAAAGGAAAAACCGAAAAGCCCAGCGAAAACCCUAGUUACCUACUCGAUCCCAAUCUUUCCGGUCUGGCUACAACGGGAAAUUUGUGUUACAGUGUGAACAUCGGCUUCCAAAAUGGCUAACAUUGUCCUCAGAAAUCUGCAUUCUUUAGUACAAAAACGCCUUCUUGCAACAUUACCAACGCCUACAUCUGCAUUAUGUUCAUCUUUUACAGUUGAGUACCUGGUGAAGUCAUGCGGGCUUCCUUUAGAAUCUGCAAUCUCAACCUCCAAGAAGCUUCAGAUUGAUAAGAAGCAAACCCAUCGGAUAGAUUCGAUGCUCAAAUUCUUGAAAUCUAACGGAUUUGAUGAUGCCCAAAUCGCCAAAUUGAUCGCCAAGCGCCCCAAAAUCCUCCAUUACAAGGUACUCAACAAUCUGGAGCCCAAAUUCAACUUUCUCAUUGAAAAUGGCUUUGUGGGUCAGAAUCUGCCAGAGCUCGUUUUAUUGAAUCCAGCCGUUUUGACUCGGAGUUUGGAUUCUCACAUAAAACCAGCAGUUCAAUUUCUCAAGAAAUUGCUUUCAACCAAUGAUGUGUUGGCGGCGGCCAAACGCUCUUCAUGGCUGUUAAACACCGAUAGUGAGGGUACAAUUCAACCCAAUGUGGCCCUUUUGCAGAAUGAAGGUGUUCCCUUUGAUGUUUUAACAAAACUGAUAGUGUUACAGCCAAGGACCGUUAUGCAAAAUGUUGACAGAAUGGCUUAUGCAGUUAGAACAAUAAAAGAUUUGGGCAUUGACCCGACUGAUCCGAUGUUUGUCCAGGCUCUUCGAGUUAUGAUCUCUAUGAAAGAGUCAACAUGGAAAAGGAAAAUUGAAUUUUUUAAGAGUUACGGGUGGUCUGAAGAUGAUAUUCUGUCAGUUUUUAAGCGCCAACCAUUUUGUUUAGCUUGUUCGGAGGAGAAACUUGGGAGAGUCAUGGAUUUCCUUCUGAACACUGUGAAGUUGGAACCGGAGACUAUGAUUGCCAAUCCCAUGCUUCUUAUGCAUGCUUUUGAGAAAACAGUUCUACCAAGGUAUAAUGUUUUCAAGAUUUUGGUUUCUAAGAAGCUGAUUAAUAGGGACAACAAGAGGCUGUCUUGGUUGAUCACACAAGGUGAGAGGAGAUUUUUGGAUAGGUAUGUUCUUAAGUAUUUGAAUGAAGUCCCAGACCUACUGGAGAUAUACCAUAGUUCUAAGGAAGAGACAAUAGAGAUUCCUUAGUACAAUAGUAAGUGGACCUGUGAAAUUUUGUAUUGAAAUAUUGUCUCUUUGCUAUGGAUUUAGAGUUCUUUUUUUAUAUGUAAUCAUUUAGAUUUGUUUGGUUGACUCUCGUUUUCUGAUUCGUAGUUUGUGUUCACAUUAUACAACUUUUUCCCUAAUAUCAGGCAAAUUCCUUGGUGGUAUGAUUAUUUAAGAAAAAAACAAGGGACAUAAAUAAUAAAAAGGCGAAACUCCAUCUUCAUGCACUUAAUUGGUUUAAGAGCAUGUUUUGACUGCGAUUGCUAUUAGCUACCUUCUGUUAGUAUCAUGAAGUCCUUGCUGCAUCUGUUGAGAAGUGAAGGAGACCACUGUUUUAAACAUAAUCAGUUAGUUUUGACUGCCCAUUGUUCUUUUACUAAUAAUUUUAUAUUUCCAAGCGGACAUUUAUAAUUGUAUCUAUAAAGGGAACAAUAUCAAAGAGUCCAUUCCACUAGAAUCAAAGGCAUUAUAUGUUAGUGAUACAUUUUGGCUUUUCUAUCACUUCCAUUUUUGUUUGUCUUGUUCUAAUGUUGCUUUCUUUUUGGCUAGACGUCGGGGCUUCUUUUGAUUCUUGAACGGUUUUUGUUACUGAGAAAUUGAAAUGGAUUCGAAUUCUGAUUUUCCAGUGGAUGAGGUUGCUGCGAUGGAUGUUUUUGGAUUUGAAACAGCAUUUGAAGGAGAAAAUUGUGGUGUUUGUUCUAAUGUUUUUGCAACAAGUUGGGCAGAUGAAAGAGUUCAUUAAGUUAAAAAUAUACCUCAUUUUAAUCUCGCUUGAAGUUCAGUAGGAUAAUUUUUUAGGAUAAUCUUGAUUUUUCUAAUGGGUACAGUCCUUGUACAUAACUUUGGUUUUCUAAUAGUGUUGGUACUUUUAGGAUAAUCUUGAUUCUGUACAGGGUAUUUUUGUGUGUCCUCUGCUAUGAUGGAUUUUUUUCUGGACUGAAAAGGACUUUAUAGCAGCCAGUAAAUGAUGUUGCUGUUUGCUGUAAUGUUUUCAAAAUGAGGACAGUAGAAGAACGACUGCACCUCAUUGAGAAAUGCUUGGGAUCCUUUGGUAAGAAGAUGGUGGGGAUUUACAAUGGAUCACAUAUGUUCAAAGGCUCCAGUGCUGGUCACAAGGAAUGGGUCGGUUGGAAAUUAUUUGACGCAGCACAAGCUCCAGAAAAUCCAAUUUUUUUUCUUUUUUGUUGUUGGAAGCUUCCGAAAAUCAAAUUUAUGCAGAUGUAAUAUAAAUUUGUGAUGCUUUCUCAUUUUAUUAAUUUAUCUCAGUUCUCGCCUGUGUUUUUCGUUU